rnacentral:rRNA from 1 species
AGUGAACGCUGGCGGUAGGCCUAACACAUGCAAGUCGAACGGCAGCACAGUAAGAGCUUGCUCUUACGGGUGGCGAGUGGCGGACGGGUGAGGAAUACAUCGGAAUCUACUUUUUCGUGGGGGAUAACGUAGGGAAACUUACGCUAAUACCGCAUACGACCUACGGGUGAAAGCAGGGGAUCUUCGGACCUUGCGCGAUUGAAUGAGCCGAUGUCGGAUUAGCUAGUUGGCGGGGUAAAGGCCCACCAAGGCGACGAUCCGUAGCUGGUCUGAGAGGAUGAUCAGCCACACUGGAACUGAGACACGGUCCAGACUCCUACGGGAGGCAGCAGUGGGGAAUAUUGGACAAUGGGCGGAAGCCUGGUCCAGCCAUACCGCGUGGGUGGAGAAGGCCUUCGGGUUGUAAAGCCCUUUUGUUGGGAAAGAAAAGCAGCAGGUUAACACCCCGCUGUUCUGACGGUACCCAAAGAAUAAGCACCGGCUAACUUCGUG